UCGGCUUAGAGUUUGAUCAUGGCUCAGGACGAACGCUGGCGGUGUGCCUAAUACAUGCAAGUCGAGCGAAAAGAAGCUUGCUUCUUUUUAGCGGCGGACGGGUGAGUAACACGUGGGCAACCUACCCUACAGAUUGGGAUAACUCCGGGAAACCGGGGCUAAUACCGAAUAAUCCAUUUGCCUCAUGGCGAGAUGUGAAAGGCGUUCACGUCACUGUAGGAUGGGCCCGCGCUGCAUUAGCUAGUUGGUAAGGUAACGGCUUACCAAGGCAACGAUGCAUAGCCGACCUGAGAGGGUGAUCGGCCACAUUGGGACUGAGACACGGCCCAAACUCCUACGGGAGGCAGCAGUAGGGAAUCUUCCACAAUGGACGAAAGUCUGAUGGAGCAACGCCGCGUGAGUGAUGAAGGUUUUCGGAUCGUAAAACUCUGUUGUAAGGGAAGAGCAAGUACGUUGAAAAACGUACCUUGACGGUACCUUAUUAGAAAGCCACGGCUAACUACGUGCCAACAGCCGCGGUAAUACGUAGUGGCAAGCGUUGUCCGGAUUUAUUGGGCGUAAAGCGCGCGCAGGUGGUUUCUUAAGUCUGAUGUGAAAGCCCCCGGCUCAACCGGGGAGGGUCAUUGGAAACUGGGAAACUUGAGUGCAGAAGAGGAUAGUGGAAUUCCAAGUGUAGCGGUGAAAUGCGUAGAGAUUUGGAGGAACACCAGUGGCGAAAGCGACUGUCUGGUCUGUAACUGACACU
rnacentral:rRNA from 1 species